GCGGCCUCCGGGCCGUCUUCCGCACGAGCUUCUUAGACGGACCGGUACCCCCGCCGGGGGAAGGAGGUGCGAGGCAACGACAGGUCUGUGAUGCCCUUAGAUGUUCUGGGCCGCACGCGCAUUACACUGACGCGUCCAACGGGUGACUCCCGACCCGAAGGGGCCGGGGAAUCCGCAAGGCGCGUCGUGAUGGGAUUGAACGUUGCAAUUGUUGUUCACGAACGAGGAAUUCCUAGUAGGCGCGGGUCAUCAACCCGCGCCGAUUACGUCCCUGCCCUUUGUACACACCGCAAGGAGUCUAACAUGUAUGCAAGUCUAAGAGAAUUUAAAACUAUAAGGCGAAAUGAAAGUGAUUAAUUUAUUAAAUUUGGGUUUAAGACUCAUUUUGAAAUAAAGACUAGUUAAAUUUAGGUUUAAUUAAGUUUAAGCAUAUAUGAUGGGACCCGAAAGAUGAUGAACUAUGCUUGAACAGAGUGAAGUCAGGGGAAACUCUGGUGGAGGCUCGUAGCGAUACUGACGUGCAAAUCGUUCGUCUGAUUUGAGUAUAGGGG
rnacentral:rRNA from 1 species